GACGAACGCUGGCGGCGCGCCUAACACAUGCAAGUCGAACGAGCGAGAGAGAGCUUGCUUUCUCGAGCGAGUGGCGAACGGGUGAGUAACGCGUGAGGAACCUGCCUCAAAGAGGGGGACAACAGUUGGAAACGACUGCUAAUACCACAUAAGCCCACGGGUCGGCAUCGACCAGAGGGAAAAGGAGCGAUCCGCUUUGAGAUGGCCUCGCGUCCGAUUAGCUAGUUGGUGAGGUAACGGCCCACCAAGGCAACGAUCGGUAGCCGGACUGAGAGGUUGAACGGCCACAUUGGGACUGAGACACGGCCCAGACUCCUACGGGAGGCAGCAGUGGGGAAUAUUGCACAAUGGGGGAAACCCUGAUGCAGCGACGCCGCGUGGAGGAAGAAGGUCUUCGGAUUGUAAACUCCUGUUGUUGGGGAAGAUAAUGACGGUAC
rnacentral:rRNA from 1 species